rnacentral:lncRNA from 1 species
UCCUCCUCUUUUACGUCCUUGUCCAAGCCACCAACAAACACUUCAAACUCCUUGCGUUUACGCCUCUCUUUAACAACUUCAUGAUGCUCAUCCUCAUCGGCAUCAACCAUGCCAGCGUGCUCAUGGUCUUCACCACCUUGCUGAUCAUCAUCCUCCCCCUCAAGAUCCUCCUGAGCAUCCUCAACAUCCUCUUCAACCAUAUCACCUUCCUCAUCCCCCACAUUGUCCUCAGGCUCCCCCUCCCCAUCUACCACUUCCUGAACAUCCUCCUGUUCAAUUUCUUUUUCAUCAUACUCAAACCCUCCAUCCUCAUCAGGUUCUGAUUCGGGAUCGUUAUCUUCGAGAUCCAAGCGCUCGUCCUUCCCAUAUUCUUCAUCCUUUACUUCUUCUUCUU